rnacentral:rRNA from 1 species
UACGUAGGGUGCAAGCGUUAAUCGGAAUUACUGGGCGUAAAGCGUGCGCAGGCGGUUGUGUAAGACAGAUGUGAAAUCCCCGGGCUCAACCUGGGAACUGCAUUUGUGACUGCACAGCUGGAGUGCGGCAGAGGGGGAUGGAAUUCCGCGUGUAGCAGUGAAAUGCGUAGAUAUGAUGUAGAACACCGAUGGCGAAGGCAAUCCCCUGGGCCUGCACUGACGCUCAUGCACGAAAGCGUGGGGAGCAAACAGG